GCCUGGAUAGUUCAAUUUAGGUUAGAACGUUAAUUUCAUGCAUUAAUAAUGAGAAUUCAACUUUCUCUCCCGGCU
rnacentral:tRNA from 3 species